rnacentral:rRNA from 1 species
AGGGUGUAAACGCUGCGGGCUUGGUGUUGGGGGUCCUUUGAGGGCGCCCAGUGCCGGAGAGAAGUUGUUAAGCCUGCUGCUUGGGGAGUACGUCCGCAAGGAUGAAACUUAAAGGAAUUGGCGGGGGGAGCACCGCAACGGGAGGAGCGUGCGGUUCAAUUGGAUUCAACGCCGGACAACUCACCAGGAGCGACGGUUACAUGAAGGCCAGGCUGAUGACCUUGCCUGAUUUUCCGAGAGGAGGUGCAUGGCGUGUGACUGU